rnacentral:rRNA from 1 species
UACGGGGGGGGCAAGCGUUGUUCGGAAUUACUGGGCGUAAAGGGCGCGUAGGCGGCCCGCUAAGUCGAACGUGAAAUCCCCGGGCUCAACCCGGGAACUGCGUCCGAUACUGGCAGGCUUGAAUCCGGGAGAGGGAUGUGGAAUUCCAGGUGUAGCGGUGAAAUGCGUAGAUAUCUAGAGGAACACCGGUGGCGAAGGCGGCCUUCUGGACGAGCACUGACGCUGAGACGCGAAAGCGUGGGGAGUAAACAGG